GGGCGGGCGGAGGAGAAGUCCCGGGACCCCCCGACCCGCUCCCGAGUUCCAAAAUGACCUUUCCCCGCAUCGUUUCGGAGGUAACCGAGCUGCGUAAUUAUAUUUGCACUUCCAGAAGACUGCAUCAGAGUCCCCUUAUUGGUUUGAAAUUCCAUUAAAUAUAUUGCAAGAGCUCCUAGGUUAAGCUUGAUUUAAAUUUGCAUACAUUUUCAUAUAUUUAGCAGAAAUAAAAGAAGGCUUGCAGCUACCAGAAAGUCAUUAAGGCAUUAGUUUCUCUGAGAAGACAGAUCUGAAGAAAAUUCAAGAAAAUGAGAAAAUAGAUCUAAAUAAGGUGGAGUUGAAUACAAUGUGAUUAACUACAAGCAAUAUGUUGUGAAGAUGAUGGUAUUCAGACACAUACCCAAACAAUUUGAUUCAGAUAAAUUGGAUACAAGACUUUGACCAGCAUGAGAAGAACAGUGUCUUUCAGAUGAAGAAAGUGAAAUCCUUUUCUGCCCCUGGUGCCUGAGUAAAUUGAUAUCAAAUACUCGAAUGAAAAGACAACUCUUGUCAGCAGAGGCAAGCAACAGGAAAAUCUGGGACAGGAGGUGGCUGAAGUGCUCCAAAGGGAAAAGUUUGAAGAUGGGAACCCCCUCCGGGACUCUCCGUACCCAUGAAGCUGCCAGGGGGGAGAGGAGCUCCAGCUCCAGGGAUACCCAAGGCAGUGUGCAAGCAGGGAGCAUCCCAGACCCGUGGAGGAGCUCAGCAGGAGAAGAAUCAGUGGGGGAAAAUAGUCCUAAUGCUGUGUUGCUGCUGGUGGGUCAGGCAGUUUGAACAGAGGUCUGCGGUGCUCCAGCUCGUUGGGAACUUUUGUGCUCAGACCAGGAGGAUGCUACAGAUGGAGCUGAUCUGUGAAUUUCAAAUCUGUGCCUCCACCAGUGUUGACACGGUGCAAUGAUGCAGCCGAGCUCUCAGAUGUCUGGCUCGAAGAGUUGUGAAAUGAUCAAGCAGACAAACCCAACCAUUUCAGCCUUGUCAAUCUAGUUCUCAGUGGACAGAUGCCCUGGUGCUGGAAAAGCAGCAUGCCCUGCAACACCUCUUGGUAGUGUGGAAAAAGAGCCAGAGAUGUCCUAGACAUGAAGUACGACCGGAUUCUCAGCUCAAAAAAUCAGGCUAAGAAUUUGCCAAGGGCAUCAACAGCAGUUUUCCCAGGCUUCAGCACAAGGAUUAUAUAGUCAAUCCACAAAUGACUCCAAUCUUUGAAGAAAAGGACAUGGUUAUCAGAGAGGCUUUGACGACAGCAAGGACUGGAGCACAAUCUGCCUUUUUCCAUCAGAGGUUCCCAUUCCCUCUCAUUAACAUACUCAGGACAUCAGCACAGCCAUCAGUCCCAGGGGAAUCACCUCAAACUUUCCAGGGAAUAUGCACAAGACCUGGCCCUGUGUUAUUUCAAACAGAUCAAACCAGAUGUGCCUUGUGAAAGGUUUGGAGAAAGGCUGGGGCACAGCAGCAUUAGGGGAGGGAUUCACAGGUUGCAGAGAAUUUUCAAAUACAUUGUUAUAUCUUGGUAAUCUUUCUUAUUUUCCAGGGUUUUUCAAUCCCACUGAGGAUGCAGAGCUGCUCUGUGAUAUCUGCUGCUGCUGUAAGUGUGAAAGGAGGUGCCUCUACCUGCUCCUUCCCAGCGCCCUGUGAUGAAAAAUGCCUUUGGAGGAACACUGGAAACAAGCCAUCAAAAUAUCUGAUUAAACCUCUUAGGAAACUCUCACUAAUCACCUUCUCUGCUCUUGAUGGAGUGUAUUUAUGCAUUAUAAAUAUACUUACUAUGUGUGUGUGCUCCAUAAAUCACAUCCAGCACUUGUAUGUGAUGUAUAAGCACAUUCUAUAGAACACACACAAAUACAGAUGCCAAACUCCCACAGAGUUCAUCACUGGAAAAAUGUUUGAAGGAUCUGAUCCUUAAUAUUUAAUGAGCAAGAUGCUAUUUCCUUCCUCAGCUUUUAUCUCUGGUUUGGCAUAGUCAUUAAAUUCGUUGUUUCCUUGCAGGAUUAUAUAAUUUAUGACCUAAUUUUAGACUUUUGUGUAACCGCGUUAAAACACUCGUGGCAGAUCCGGAUUUCUCUGCACAGAGCGUUCCAGCAUCAGACACCAGCUCAAACAUGACUCCUGUGAGCUGCCCAUCAGCAAGGAGUUAGAGGCAUUAAAAGCAAACAGCCCAACAAUAUUCAGACAGCAUUACAGGAUUAGACGGUGGGGUUUUUUUCCCUGUAAAAAUCUGAUUUAGCAGCACUUCCCAAGCCAUGCGCAGUGGCUGCCAGGAAUCCCCAGGAAACAAUUCUCCCCCUUUUAGAGGGGAUAAAGUGCAAUGGGAAUAGGACUGUUCAGUGGAGAAUUCCGUGUGGCAGAAGGAUGGGCAGCAUGGAGAUUUCCGAGAUGGUUUGGACAUCACUUCCACCAAGAAGAAGAAAUAUUAUACCAAAGUUGCUCAUCAAAACUGAGACCUCAUAUGGAUUAUUUAUUGGAAAGUCCAGAAAACAACCACUGAGUUUUUUCCCAGAGCAGAGAUCUUGUGUUAGAGCAGAGAUCUUGUGUUAGAGCAGACAAUGUUAAAAUAACCAAGCCCCAGAAGAGACUAAAAGGAAAACCCUGAAAUUAGAGCAGAGAGAAAUUAUCAAAAUUUGUAAAAGUGAUUUGAUGAAGCCUUGUUUGUGUUCAAAAUCUGUGCUUGUUUUGAAAUCCAAAGAACUACUGUUAGUUACAUUAUUUGGCCAGAGGAACUUUAUAGCCAGGAAACACCCAACACCUGUAUCCCACUUUCAAAAAUACAGUUUAUACCAUUCUGAAAUCCCAAAAGAUAGUGAAAACCCCUGGAUUUGUGAGGCUUGGGAUUAUUGGAAUUAGACACAAGCAGCUGGGCUUUCCCCAGGAUGAUAUUUUGGAAUAUUUGAAUAACAGAAUUUCUGGCCCAGGUGUUUGGGGGAUGUGUGUGAUGUGGGCACAGGAGCACUGUUGAGGUGGACUUGUGAUGUCACUGUGAUUCCUGGACAUCCUUUGGCACCCAAGUGACUUCAGAAGGGCUGGAAUUUCAUCCCAGGCCAGGAGCAGCUGAUGGAGGUGAGGUGGAGCACUUUCAGUGAUGUAGAACUGAAAAAAUUCUUUGUCAUAUAACUGAUCCCAUCAGCAGUCCAGGGUACCCAAAUUUCACUUUGAAUUUUCUCCUGAGUUUCCAUUUACAUCAGUAAUAUAUAGAUAAUAUGUUAAGGUGUUAUCCUUAAAAAAAGGAAAGAAAUAAUUUCUUUAUGAUAGGGGCAAUUUGUAGAAGACAUUUGUGUAAUUUUGCAUUCUAAAUGUGAUUUAUAUUUAUAAAUAAA